rnacentral:sRNA from 1 species
CGAAGCGAGAGAACGUUGCCGCAGGCAACGGCCCGAAGGGCGAGGCGCUUUAGCGCCGAGUAAUCCUUCCCCCACCAUCA